GGUCAAGCUGGUAAGGGCAUACGGUGGAUGCCUUGGCGCUUUGGGCCGAUGAAGGACGUGGCAAGCUGCGAAAAGCCACGGGGAGCCGCAAGCAGGCGUAGAUCCGUGGAUCUCCGAAUGGGGCAACCCGGCGGGGGUGAACCCCCGUCAUCCCGUACUGAACACAUAGGUACGGGAGGGGCACCCGGGGAACUGAAACAUCUUAGUACCCGGAGGAAAAGAAAGCAAAAGCGAUCCCCGUAGUAGCGGCGAGCGAAGAGGGGACAGCCUAAACCCAGCACUCAACUGAGUGUUUAUGUUAUGCAUACAACAAGCUAAUGCAUCCGGGAAGUGAAAGUUGGGGUAAGAGCAUAGCGUAAACACCGAGUUGAGUGCUGGGGGUUGCGGGACUCCCGUUGACGUACUGCGGAACUUAGCCGAAGCGGGCUGGAAAGCCCCGCCGCAGAAGGUAAAAGCCCUGUAGGCGAAAAGGGAAGCAGUGCGGGGAGGAUCCCAAGUACCGCGGGGCACGUGGAAUCCUGCGGGAAUCAGGGAGGACCACCUUCCAAGGCUAAAUACCCAAAGCGACCGAUAGUGGACCAGUACCGUGAGGGAAAGGUGAAAAGCACCCCGGGAGGGGAGUGAAAUAGGACCUGAAACCGUAUGCCUACAAGCAGUCGGAGCCCAGCACUCAACUGGGUGCUUACCUUAGGCUUUAGAGGGGUUGAUACAUUCCGGGAGGGAAGGGCCUGUUUAAGGCAACCGUAAGCACCGAGUUGAGUGCUGGGUGACGGCGUACUUUUUGUAGAACGGACCGGCGAGUUACGUUCAGCGGGCGAGGUUAAGGCAGAAAAGGCCGGAGCCGUAGCGAAAGCGAGUCUGAAGAGGGCGGUAAGUCCGCUGGAGUAGACCCGAAACCGGGUGAGCUACCCAUGUCCAGAGUGAAGCGUAAGUAAAGUUACGUGGAGGCUCGAACCAACCGUCGUUGAAAAGGCGGUGGAUGAGGUGUGGGUAGGGGUGAAAUGCCAAUCGAACCCGGAGAUAGCUGGUUCUCCCCGAAAUAGCUUUAGGGCUAGCCUCAUACGAGAGUACCGGAGGUAGAGCACUGACUGGGCUAGGGGCCUUCGCGGGUUACCGAACCCAAUCAAACUACGAAUGCCGGUUACUUGAUGUAUGGGAGUCAGACUACGAGUGCUAAGAUCCGUAGUCGAGAGGGGAACAGCCCGGACCGCCGGCUAAGGUCCCGAAGCGGUGCUAAGUGGGGAAGGAUGUGGGGCUGCGAAGACAACCAGGAUGUUGGCUUAGAAGCAGCCAUCAUUCAAAGAGUGCGUAAUAGCUCACUGGUCAAGUGGCCCUGCGCCGAAAAUGAAACGGGGCUCAAGCACCGCACCGAAGCCGCGGGUUUCGGAGGUCGGUCGUCAGAAGUCAGAAGUCGGAGGGGAGAAAUCCGACAUCUGACAUCCGACGACCGACUUCCGAGGCGGUAGGGGAGCGUUCCCACCGGGCAGAAGUCACACUGGGAGGUGUGGUGGACUGGUGGGAAGUGAGAAUGCCGGUAUAAGUAAGCGAAAAGGCAGGUGAGAAUCCUGCCCGCCGAAAGCCUAAGGGUUCCUGGGGAAGGCUCGUCCGCCCAGGGUAAGCCGGGGCCUAAGCCGAGGCCGAAAGGCGUAGGUGAUGGGGAAUCGGUUGACAAUCCGAUGCCACCGGUAGGCCGAUUGAGGAUGGGGUGACGCAGGAGGGUAGGCCAAGCGCGCGGCUGGAAAGGCGCGUCCAAGCCGGUAGGGUGUGGGGCAGGCAAAUCCGUCCCACGGUAAGCCCGAGAGGUGAUGGGGAGGGAAAUAAGAGUACCGAAGUGGCUGAACCCAAACUGCCGAGAAAAACCUCUAACGAGGAAUACCGGUGCCCGUACCGCAAACCGACACAGGUAGGCGAGGAGAGAAUCCUCAGGCGCGCGAGAGAACCCUCGUUAAGGAACUCGGCAAACUGACCCCGUAACUUCGGGAGAAGGGGUGCCCCGGUAGCGUGAAGGUAGGAGCUACUGGAGCGCGAGGGGGCCGCAGAGAAGAGGCCCAAGCGACUGUUUACCAAAAACACAGGUCCCUGCGAAAUCGAAAGAUGAAGUAUAGGGGCUGACGCCUGCCCGGUGCUGGAAGGUUAAGGGGAAGGGUUAUCCGAGAGGAGAAGCUCUGAACCGAAGCCCCAGUAAACGGCGGCCGUAACUAUAACGGUCCUAAGGUAGCGAAAUUCCUUGUCGGGUAAGUUCCGACCCGCACGAAAGGCGUAACGACUUGGGCGCUGUCUCAACGAGGGGCUCGGCGAACUUGUAGUACCCGUGAAGAUGCGGGUUACCUGCGACGGGACAGAAAGACCCCGUGGAGCUUUACUGCAGCCUGACAUUGGACUUCGGUAUUGCAUGUACAGGAUAGGUGGGAGGCAGGGAAGCCGGGGCGCCAGCCCUGGUGGAGCCGACCUUGGGAUACCACCCUUGUGGUAUUGGAGUUCUAACAGGGUACCGUGGAGCCGGUACAUGGACAGUGUCAGGUGGGCAGUUUGACUGGGGCGGUCGCCUCCUAAAAGGUAACGGAGGCGCCCAAAGGUUCCCUCAGCGCGGUUGGAAAUCGCGCGUAAGAGUGCAAAGGCAGAAGGGAGCUUGACAGCGAGACUGACUGGUCGAGCUGGGACGAAAGUCGGGCUUAGUGAUCCGGCGGUAGCGAGUGGAAGCGCCGUCGCUCAACGGAUAAAAGCUACCCCGGGGAUAACAGGCUUAUCUCCCCCAAGAGUUCACAUCGACGGGGAGGUUUGGCACCUCGAUGUCGGCUCAUCGCAUCCUGGGGCUGGAGUAGGUCCCAAGGGUUGGGCUGUUCGCCCAUUAAAGCGGUACGUGAGCUGGGUUCAGAACGUCGUGAGACAGUUCGGUCCCUAUCCGUCGCAGGCGCAGGAAACUUGAGAGGAGCUGUCCCUAGUACGAGAGGACCGGGAUGGACAGACCGCUGGCGUACCAGUUGUCCCGCCAGGGGCAGCGCUGGGUACCCAAGUCUGGUGGGGAUAAGCGCUGAAAGCAUCUAAGCGCGAAGCCCUCCUCAAGAUAAGGUUUCCCAUGGAGUCAAUCCAGUAAGACCCCUGGAAGACUACCAGGUAGAUAGGCCGGGCGUGUAAGCCGGGUAACCGGUUGAGCGGACCGGUACUAAUAGGUCGAGGGCUUGACCAG
rfam:Desulfotomaculum kuznetsovii DSM 6115, complete genome.